AAACUUACCUGGACGGGGUCGACGGGCAAUUAGGAAGGCUCGCGGCCUAGGUCAAUGGCUGCCAUUGCAUUGUGGUGGCGCGUUGGUUUACCAUCUUUCCAAGUGGGAGAGUGGAUGUCAUAAAUUGUGAUAGAGGGGGUAUGCUCUUGCGUGGUCCCCAC